rnacentral:lncRNA from 1 species
GGGAGGCUUGGUAACUUGCCUACCUCACGCUAUUAUUAAGAACAAUAACUGAAGUCCAGAUGUGCGUGGCUGCAAAGCAUCUGAAUCCCGAAAGCUCUUCAUGGACCAGUUCGGCUCCUUCGACCUCCGAUUCUCCCCUGAUGAAGGGUUAUUUACGUGGCUGCCUGUUUUAUGUUUUAGGCUGUCAAAAUCAGCACCAUUCUACAACGUUAAGUCAAAGAGACCAACUCUUCCCUCUGGGUCACGACAAUCGAGGAUGCUUUCAGUCUGUGGAAAUUUACAAGUGACAGCAGAACAGCAGACCUACGCCCUCCAACUAGAAAUCUUGCUCCAGGUCUUAACUGGGACCAUAAUUUAGUAAAUACAUAAUUUAAUGUGAAGAACUUUAAAUUUAGCCUAUCAGGUACCUUUAAAACUAUAAUAUUAAAUAAGAUCAUUUUUUAUAAACUCAGGUACGCAAAGAAUCAAGUAACAUUUGUAGACGGAGAUAUUUAUAUUAGCUGAGUCAUCGGC